UGGAGGAAACUCUGAUGCAGCGACGCCGCGUGAGUGAUGAAGGCCUUCGGGUCGUAAAGCUCUGUCGCAGGGGAAUAACACAAUGAAUGUACCCUGUAAGAAAGGAUCGGCUAACUUCGUGCCAGCAGCCGCGGUAAU
rnacentral:rRNA from 1 species